rnacentral:tRNA from 1 species
GCAGCCCUUCAGGUUGUCUCUGUGGCGCAAUCGGUUAGCGCGUUCGGCUGUUAACCGAAAGGUUGGUGGUUCAAGCCCACCCAGGGACGGCCGCUGCCUCCCAAGUGCUGGGAUUAAAGGCGUGCACCAUCCCCACCGGCCAGAAAACUGCCUUUAAGUGAGCAUAACUGUUAUGAAAUCGAGCAUACACUUGCUGACUCACACAGUGAAGAGAUGGGUGUUGCCAUUGUCACAUAAUGGUGUUUAUGUCAUGCUCUACUCUGAGCCCACUCUGCAAAUGUGUCUUCUACAGGGGUCCGGUGUUCCCAACUGUAGCCAUGUUCCUUUCUUGUUUUCUUGCCUACACAACAACCUUUCUCCCAGCUGUCUCCAAUGCUGACCUAGGGUAAUGUUGCCACAUGGGCUUGGCUCAGGGGGAGGUACAGCAGAGGACCACACACAGUGCACAGGCACACAGAUACUAUACAGCGUAUUUUGGGUGGAAAUAAGGCACUUAGAGUCCUCCAAAAGCUAAUUGUUUUCUGUGAUGAACUGGUCACUCAGAUCAAAGAAGACUGGCCAGUCUGGCUCUUGGAUAGUUCACUGUCAAACUGCUUGUCCAAAGGGAAGACCAAUUUUGAUUGUUCUUGUCAUUUUUGCUCCUCACCUCUCCUCUUUGCUCUUUGAUCUGGCAUAUAAGGUGUUUGCUAUAAACAAAGAGACCAAUACUCCCCCUUCCCAACAGUUGGUGGGCACCCAGAAAACUCUACAGUGUUCUUGACAGAAAGUAUGUGGGCUCUGUGAAUGAAAAUUCUCCUGUCUGAGAUACUCCAGUCACUGUGCUUUUCUUGCCCUUUGAAAACAUGCAGUGUCUCAGGGAAUUUGUGUUCAAUGAGAAAACGAGAGACCAAAAAUUAAAAUUAAUAAAAGUUUAAAGACUUGGGUCUGCUGAACCUACACAGAGAAAAAAG